rnacentral:rRNA from 2 species
UGGAGCCGACCUUGAAAUACCACCCUUUAAUGUUUGAUGUUCUAACGUGGACCCGUGAUCCGGGUUGCGGACAGUGUCUGGUGGGUAGUUUGACUGGGGCGGUCUCCUCCUAAAGAGUAACGGAGGAGCACGAAGGUUGGCUAAUCCUGGUCGGACAUCAGGAGGUUAGUGCAAUGGCAUAAGCCAGCUUGACUGCGAGCGUGACGGCGCGAGCAGGUGCGAAAGCAGGUCAUAGUGAUCCGGUGGUUCUGAAUGGAAGGGCCAUCGCUCAACGGAUAAAAGGUACUCCGGGGAUAACAGGCUGAUACCGCCCAAGAGUUCAUAUCGACGGCGGUGUUUGGCACCUCGAUGUCGGCUCAUCACAUCCUGGGGCUGAAGUAGGUCCCAAGGGUAUGGCUGUUCGCCAUUUAAAGUGGUACGCGAGCUGGGUUUAGAACGUCGUGAGACAGUUCGGUCCCUAUCUGCCGUGGGCGCUGGAGAACUGAGGGGGGCUGCUCCUAGUACGAGAGGACCGGAGUGGACGCAUCACUGGUGUUCGGGUUGUCAUGCCAAUGGCACUGCCCGGUAGCUAAAUGCGGAAGAGAUAAGUGCUGAAAGCAUCUAAGCACGAAACUUGCCCCGAGAUGAGUUCUCCCUGAGACUUA